UUAAGACAGUAUAAAAUGUACAGUUACCUUCCAAGUAAAAAGUCCGAUUCGG
rnacentral:tRNA from 1 species